AACAAAAAAACGGAUCCACAAUUACUCUAGCCCAAAUUCGGAUUCAUUAUGAACACACCUUGACCAUCUCACAUGUGUGAAACUUAAAUCUACGACUUCAUCCCUUCCCCCAGAAGAACGCGAAUCGUGGAUGUGGUCAGCUGACUGCAACUCAGUGUAACAACGCGGCCACAAAAGAGAACUUAGCACAACAUCGAAGCGAACACGUCUCUCAAAUUUGAGUUUGGAAUGAAGAAGAUAAAGGCAAGAAACGAGGAUGCGACACCAAACUAAACCAUCGUCAGAACUGAAGUCACCUCACGUACGGAUACAAAAAAGAAGGGAGAAGAAUGACCUACCAAAAUCGAUGCGUUAUUGAUGUUGAAUCUCGAUGAAGAUUGGGAAGCACUAGCGUUCGACGAUGGAAGUGGAACGUGAGGAUGAUUGACUUGUCAAGAGGUUAUGUAGGUUAUUUUGGGAGAUCUUGAAUUUGAAUGGUCCAUAAACUGGUUGAACCAUGUUGUUUGGAGCAAGUUAAGGAGUGAAUCAUGUGGAUGAAUUACUGAUUGGGGACUAUAAGACCCCAAAUUUGACCCUAAGAUCCCUCAUGCUAUCUCAUCAUAUGCACUGGCAUUGGGAUCACACAUUGGCAUCCUCCUUAUCCCUCAUUCAUUGGGUUUGCAGCGGGAGAGAUCACCAAGCACAUUUGAUUGUAUCAUACUUCAUUUUUCUUUGUUUACUAACCAAAAUACCAAAAAUAUGUUAAUGUAUAGUUUGUUGCUUUUGUAGGUAGUGUGCAUGCUCACCUAUGCUCAAUUAAGCCAAUAUCUAGGGUUUGAGACCCUCAAUGCAAGGAGCACAAUCAAGAAUUGAUUUACAUUGUCUCUAAUCAUCAUAUAUGGAUCCCCAUGUUCUUAAUUAGUUAAUUUGAUCAAGAUUUCAUCAAGAGUUUGAAGUUUGUUUGCCUUGGAAACCCUAAUUCAUCUAGGUAUCUAGUGUAACUUCUUCAACAAGUUUCUUCAACAAUUGAUCAAAUAUUUCAAGGGAUACUUCACAUUACAUCAUCCUAUGCAUAUGUGAUCCUCCAUGAGUCCGAAAAGUCAAUAGAAUAUCAAGCUAUCAAGUUGGUUCAUGGUAGUUGACCAGAGAAAGUCAACGGACCAAAAUUGGGAUUCCCUAGACCCUAUCUCCUACAAUUUUGUCAUAUGAAAAUGCUUCCAAGAGAAACGUUACUCAAAAUGACAUUCCAAACUACUUUCAUGUUGAAGUCAAGAGCUAGUUUUUCUUGGAAUGUAAUUUAUUAUGGUAAACGAUUAUAGGUCA